UGGGGAAUAUUGCACAAUGGGCGCAAGCCUGAUGCAGCCAUGCCGCGUGUAUGAAGAAGACCUUCGGGUUGUAAAGUACUUUCAGCGGGGAGGAAGGUGUUGUGGUUAAUAACCACAGCAAUUGACGUUACCCGCAGAAGAAGCACCGGCUAACUCCGUG
rnacentral:rRNA from 1 species